GUCCGUGCCAAGGGUUGGCCUGCACUUUUGUCAAGGUUUGAGGUUUGCUUCUUUUCUUUUGCGGUCGUCGAAGCGUGGAAUUAACUCAAAUCGAUUCGCUGCACUCGAACUCAAGGGACGUGGCAAUGCUUAGGGUUAUAAACGUAGAAUCCACUUUAGGGUUUUUCAGUUUUUCAAUUGUUACAGUCGAGUCGGUUACCGAAAACCUUGACCAUGACAAGUGUAUGAUAAUUGCAUAGUGUGAGUGCGUGCAUUUGUGUGUGCUCAGAGUGUAAGAAAAUUAUAUAAUUUGUUCCCAUAGAUUCUGGUUUUUUGCAGCUUUGAAUAAUAAUAUAUAUACCAGACAUCAAAAAAGCACAGAGCUUUAGGAAUCUUAAAAUAUUAAGAAUGAAUAGCAUCGUGUCGAAGGCUCCUUAAAACACCUCAAACAGCGCGAGCACGCUUAUUUGGAUUAAGAGUACACAAUUUCGGGAUUUGAAUAGCAAGCGAGUUGAUGAAUAGCAACGGGAUUGGGAAAUAAGAUUUCAGAGUUCAAAAUGUUGAACUAUGGGAUGGUGCUAUCUUUAGCUGUAUAGGGAUACGUGCGCAUGGCCGACUAACUGAAGAGCAAAUGACUAUUCGAUGCAUUGGCAACCUGCGGCCAGGUAGCGCGAGGCCAAAUUGCUACCACAGAGACCCAUGUCAAUGGCGACCUGAGACCUGAGACCUGCGCUCUGCACCCCGCGCCCUGAACUCUGACCCAAGGCUCAGAUGCAUUGUUUGAGAAACGCUUCGCAUUUUCAAUAUAUAGGUAUUGUCAGUAUUAUGAUGGAUUUUCUGCACAUGCCAGAGUUAGGGUCCUAUUUGGCUCUAGAUUUUCCCACGGUUACAGAAGCGCGCUAAACCUGCAGCCAUCACCUGUGUCCUUUCACGUUGAGGAUACCUGCAAUUCUCGGAUAGACCGUGACCAUUUGCAGCGCUUAAGGCAACCAAAAGAAGUUUUCGGACAGAUACUCUGAUGCACAGACGGAUUUGGCUAUACCAUGGUUUGGUGAGAAAUGAAAUUGUAUAAAUGCAGUGUAUAAUUCAUUGUGUAACGAGUACAUCAACAUCAUCAGCCAUUAUGAUGUCCACUUUAAAAAGGCCUAAUCUCACGAAAAAAUUGACGUUGUCGAGCAAAAUAUCAUUAUUGGUAUAUUCUUUUGGUAUAAUUUACAAUUCAGAUGAUGUCAAUAGCAACUUUGGGAGUGAGUUUAUUAAAAUGUAUGUACUUAAUAUUGCUAAGAAUUAUACCGGCUAUAUAAAUAUAUUCAAUCAGUUGUUAAAUUCAAGAUCUUAUCUUUUCAUAACUCAACGAUUCCAAGUGAGCGAAUUAAAAAUGGGAAAUCAGGGAAUAUUGGUAUUGUGUAAAUGUAGGGCAGUUAUUCUCCAAAAUAUAUAAGCGUUUUUUAGAUGACCCAUCCAAUUUUAUCGAUAACAAUCGAUAAUUGAUUUCGUUUUUAAUCCUAACUUUAAUACGUUUGCUUCCAAUUUGAUAUAACGUAUUUCAAGUACUAGCAGCUUGUGCUUUGGCAUAAACACACAUAAAUGAAGACUACCGACUACCGAAGACUACUUAUUAAAGAAUUCAGUCCCCAUAUUAUAGUUCAUAUUGCCAUGCAAGGAAAAGUUGAAUUAUUGGAAUAUCAGCUCUUUGCACGGUUCAGUGGAUCUCAUAGUCGAGCAGUCUCGCUUAUAAUUAUAAUUAUCAAAUUAUAAAAAAUUAUAAAACACUAUAAAGCUUUUGGCAAACUAUGCCGACACAUUCCAAUACAUACGUAUACAAAUAUACACGUGCGCAGCCCACGUCUUAAAUAGAAUAGUAAACAUCUAUAAGGGAUUAGUCAGAGCAUUUACCGGUUCGCUGAUUACUAAAUAAUUCAAAAUGAAAAAUAAAUAAAUAAAUAGUAAUAAAAAUAGGCAUAAAAAAUGAAAUAAAACGCACAUAAAUUUGUUUAAAUAUUUUUGGCAAAUGAGAGAAGAUGAAUGAUGUUCAGCAUGUGAUAUGUAUGUGAUCCACGCUCCUUACAUUAAGUUAUGGCAUGAUUCCUCUUUAGCUGCUGUCAACUAAGCUACCCAAUUAGUUCCGUAUGCUUGAAGAUGACGAAGAUGUCUGCGAUUCACUAUAUUAUAUGGCUGGUAUUAUGGACAGCGUUUGUUGAUCGGUUCACGACUCGGAAAGCACUAGAUUUUUUCACAUGUUUAGCAAUUUGUAUAACUUAUCGUUAGACUUGUGAGAGGUAUUUAAAUUUCAACAAAAAGACGCUUUAGUGUACUCAGAAUUAGGACUAGGAGGUAUUAAAACUAUACAAUGAUAUUCUUUUAUAGGAAUUAAAAAAAAGUCGUAUUGAUUCAAAUCUUUUCAUAUACGUUAUAAUAUUUGAAGAGCACUCUUAGUGGACGUCCAAAGGGAGUUCUUUAGAAAUGUCGCCUUUGGCAAUACAAACACAGCACACAAUUGAAGUUGAUUGCUCUUUGCUGAAAUUGGGACACUUUCUAGAUGAAAGGAUUAUUAAGAGAUUUUCUAAGGGAAUCAAAAGUUUUGCUAUUUGCGACAGACUCAAUAAUUCUCGCAUUUUAUGGCCCAAGUUUUAUUCGUAUUGUUUUGUGUGCUUUGUCCUAAGCGUCUGUCUUUCUCUCUCUCUCUUUCUCUCUCGCAUACUCUAUCUCCGUGUAGUUUGUAAACUUUGCACUUCGUGCCAUAAAAUUAUAUAAAAUAUAUCCUCUCGCAGCCGCUCUGUCGUUUGAGCUGCUGUCAAUGUCGUUUGCUGCCAAAAAGUUGAAAGGAUACAAUUUGUGGUACCAUCAAAACAAUGCCUGAAGAGCCAAAAAAAAAAAAAAAAAAAGGAGUAAGAUAAGAUAAGAAACGACUUUUGUAUGUAGAGAAGGGAGUUUAGAUGUGUUUUUACUAUUUUUCUCUCUUAUUUACUAUUUUGUUUAUUUAUGUCAUACAAUAGGAGUUUAAUUUGGUGCGAGUAACGCCAGAUAUAAACUAGGCUAAGCAUAUAGGUGUAUAUAUAUGUAUAUAUAUACAUACAUGCGAUACUCUGUUUAUUUGAUAACUGAAGCUCGAUAAUUCUUAUUAUGAAAUUUAUAUUCGAAUGCUUCAAGCCCAAAGUUUUUCCAAUGAAAAUAAUUAUACUUAUAAAGCAAAUGACAGACUAUAUGAUUCAAUAUAAUUUGGGCAAUAAUAUUAUUAUUAAUAUUAUAUUAUUUUUUUACUUUUACAAAACAAUUUAUGUAUGCGAAAUGGGUUUCAUAUUUAAUGCAUUUAUAUAGUUGAAAGAUGUUACGUUCGUUACGUUCCAACAUUUAAGGUUAAGCAUACAAAAUUUGAGUGAGCACAGAAGGUUUCCUAAUUUUGAAAGCAGAUGAGCUCUGCUCUGCUAUAAGCAUAUCAAUUAUGCAGUUAUAUUGUUUCAGAUUGUGGGCUACUACUUAUAAAAAGUACAGACAAAUUGUCCAAGACAUCCGGCACAACGAAGCUAAUGAGGGGCGAACGAAAACGUGGUCAAAAUUGUUGCACUGAUUGUAAAUUAAAUGCUGAGAAGCACCACCGACAAAUUUAAAAAGCAUUACAAGUAAUGGGUGUGAAACAUUUAUAAAUAUCAAUUCUCAGCUGGGGACAGUUGACAAUAAUUUGCGCAGAUUGAAGAAAUGAGACCUCUAACAGAGAGUUGUACAUAGAUAUGUGCACGAAAAUUAGAAUAUAUAUUAGAUGUAUAUAUUCCACUUACUAAAUAAUGCAAACAUUUUAAGCUCAUCCAAUUUUUGCCUGUCACUGACGACAAAUACGUAAAUGACAAGCGAAAAGACAUCUUAAUGAGUACAUAUGUAUAUAUGCAUAUACAUAUGAUUUAGUUAUAUGCCGAACCGAUAUAUUCCCACAGUCUGUCCACUGAAAAUAAUUUCUUACCUCAUCGAGAACGUUGAUCUCGCGUGCCAGAAUCCGAGCCACGUACCACGUACCACACCACGGAGCACAACUUGUGCUCAUAGUGGGUUUAUUUAAUUUUAAAAAUGAUCUAUGUGCGAUAAGCAAUUUCGUUUUCUAGCGAACUACACCGAAUAAGCUGCCAUACAAGAGAUACAUAUAUACAAAUAUAUGUCUAUGCAAAAAGAAAUGUUUAAAUAUAUUUAAAUUGAAAAAUAAAACAAAGUAAAAGUAAAAAAGUUUCUUUAAUUAUUCAAAUAUUUGACUGUCAAGCUAUUUACUUGGUAUUCCCCAAAACUUUUAGCGUUCAACAAUUGUGCAGAUAUGUAACUCUGUCAAUAAAAGAAUUAACAAUGCUUAAGAAGUUCUAACUAUUUUUAGCCAGAGA